CUUCGUCAAUCUGCUGCGGACUGAUGAAAUGGAUAUGUGUAUCGAUGCCACCGGCCGUGACAAUCUUGCCUUCGCCGGCGAUCACCUCGGUCGCUGCACCUAUCGCGAUGGUUACUCCUGGCUGGAUAUCCGGAUUGCCGGCCUUGCCGAUGGCGGCAAUGCGUCCGGCCUUGAUGCCGAUGUCUGCCUUGACGAUGCCCCAGUGGUCGAUGAUCACCGCAUUCGUGAUGACGGUAUCGACGACAUCGGCGUGGCAGCGUUGCGACUGACCCAUGCCGUCGCGGAUG
rnacentral:sRNA from 1 species